rnacentral:rRNA from 1 species
UGGGGAAUAUUGGACAAUGGGGGAAACCCUGAUCCAGCCAUGCCGCGUGAGUGAUGAAGGCCUUAGGGUUGUAAAGCUCUUUCGCUAGGGAAGAUAAUGACGGUACCUAGUAAAGAAGCCCCGGCUAACUUCGUGCCAGCAGCCGCGGUAAUACGAAGGGGGCUAGCGUUGUUCGGAAUUACUGGGCGUAAAGCGCGCGUAGGCGGACACUUAAGUCAGGGGUGAAAUCCCGGGGCUCAACCUCGGAAUUGCCUCUGAUACUGGGUGUCUCGAGUCCGUGAGAGGUGAGUGGAACUCCGAGUGGAGAGGUGAAAUUCGCAGAUAUUCGGAAGAACACCAGUGGCGAAGGCGGCUCACUGGCACGGUACUGACGCUGAGGUGCGAAAGCGUGGGGAGCAAACAGGAUUAGAUACCCCCGUAGUCC